CACAGAUUUACCAUUUUACGAAAACAUUCUUACUGUAUGACCAGUUUGCUUAUCUUAGUCCUUUUUUUCUCUCUUAAUCCUAUGCCUUCUCUCUUGGUUUCCUCCGAUUGAUCUCACCGUUUCGCAGACUCUUGCUGUUUCCAUAGAGCCGAAGUCGAUCUUAUUUUGUGUUAUCGAUCUUUCUGGGAAGAGUGGUUUGUGUUCUUUUCCCUUUUGACUGGUUAUGGCGUUUCGUGGUAUCCUCUCCGUCAUCGUCUUUCCGGUGGAAGACUUAUGAACUGAAAUUGUUCUGUCUCCUGGAUAUGAAGCUUUGUUCUCUAAUUCGUCUGGACUAUUCAUCAUAGGAGGAGUCACAAGCCGAAGGUUUAUAGUCAUGGAUGGCUUCCUCGCCUUGUCUUCUUUCAAAGAAGCUCUAUCAAAUCUGCAUGCUAUUCUGUGUUUUGUAAAGGUUUCUUUUUAUCUGUCACUCUUGCCUUCUAGUUUAGAUUGAUUAGUUGUUUAGUUCUAUGUUUUGUAUCUUUGUCUAAUCUUUGUCUCCCUUGUGUGGACUAUUGUCUCCGAGAACCUUUAUUGGCAAUCUCCGGCUUAUGUAACUGGUUUAAGUUGAAUAUAAUUAGUGUUUAAAAAAAAAGACCAAGUUUGCUUGACAAUACGAAACAUUCCAUUACACAAGUGCAAUAUCAUCAAACUACUAAGGAAAUGUUUGAACGAUUCUUUUUGUAUGUUUCAGCUCUUAAAAUAUAGUUGUCGUAAAAUUAUUAUUGCCUUUGGUGGGUGCAUAAAUAUUAGAAACGGGCAGUGCACUCAGGUGGUGGGUUGGGCUUUCUCAACACUGGUCCGCAAAAGGGAAAUGACUUUCCCUGGCUCCGGAGCUCCAAACACUGAACUUCCAGCUACGAUACAGUUGGCCCCUGCUUCAGCCGCUGCUUCUAUAGUCGAUGGGCCUAACCCUCCGUCCACCUCAAUAUCUAGCGUAG